rnacentral:tRNA from 1 species
UCCGUUAUAGUCUAGUUGGUUAGGAUAUUUGCUCUCAUCCAAAAAACCUGGGUUUGAUUCCUAGCAACAGAG